rnacentral:rRNA from 1 species
ACGCUUGAGGUGUUUAGAAAGCCUCAAGGAAAGCCUGCAAAGGCGCUGAAGGAGGGAGCUGCGGGCCAUCAGGUAGUUGGUGGGGUAACGGCCUACCAAGCCAACGACGGAUAGGGGGCCUGAGAGGGUGACCCCCCACACUGGAACUGAGAGACGGUCCAGACUCCUACGGGAGGCAGCAGUAAGGGAUAUUGCGACAAUGGGCGAAAGCCUGACGCAGCAACGCCGCGUGAGGGAUGACGGCCUUCGGGUUGUAAACCUCUUUUCAGGGUGAAGAGGAAGGACGGUAGCCCUGGAAGAAGUCUCGGCUAACUACGUGCCAGCAGCCGCGGUAAAACGUAGGAGGCGAGCGUUAUCCGGAUUUACUGGGUGUAAAAGCGCGUGCAGGCGGUGGUCUAAAUUGGUGUGUGAAAACGCCCCGGCUUAACCCGG